rnacentral:rRNA from 2 species
GAGUAAUGUAUAGGAAUCUACCUAGUAGUACGGAAUAAUUGUUGGAAACGGCAACUAAUACCGUAUACGCCCUACGGGGGAAAAAUUUAUUGCUAUUAGAUGAGCCUAUAUUAGAUUAGUUAGUUGGUGAGGUAAAGGCUUACCAAGACAAUGAUCUAUAGCUGAUCUGAGAGGAUGAUCAGCCACACUGGAACUGAGAUACGGUCCAGACUCCUACGGGAGGCAGCAGUGGGGAAUAUUGGACAAUGGGCGAAAGCCUGAUCCAGCCAUGCCGCAUGAGUGAAGAAGGCCUUCGGGUUGUAAAGCUCUUUUAGUGAGGAAGAUAAUGACGGUACUCACAGAAGAAGUCCUGGCUAACUCCGUGCCAGCAGCCGCGGUAAUACGGAGAGGGCUAGCGUUAUUCGGAAUCAUUGGGCGUAAAGGGCGCGUAGGCGGGUUAGUAAGUUAAAAGUGAAAUCCCAAGGCUCAACCUUGGAACUGCUUUUAAAACUGCUAGUCUAGAGAUUGAAAGAGGAUAGAGGAAUUCCUAGUGUAGAGAUGAAAUUCNUAAAUAUUANGAGGAA